rnacentral:lncRNA from 1 species
UGAAUAACAUGGGGAUUUUCCUGGGAAUUAGUAUGAAAAUUUGCAGGAAAAUAAGUUUCCUGCGAAUUUUCAUACUAAUCCCCAGAAAAAUCCCCAUGUAAUUCACACUUUUUUUGUAGUGAGACAUGAUGAGGUGGAUACUUUCUGGAGAUUCUAAACUCGUUGAAAGAUACUAGAAAUGCAUAGCGACAACACUUGGAAUCUGUCACGAAAAAGUAACGUGGGUGUCUGCUGC